UGCUGUGAAUAUGAUGAGCUCUUCGUGUCUCUUCUCUGACAUUGACUGGAGAAAGAUUUAUCACCUCUGACCUCAGCA
rnacentral:snoRNA from 1 species